GACGAACGCUGGCGGCGUGCUUAACACAUGCAAGUCGAACGGAAAGGCCUGCUUUCCCUUGUGGAUUGCGGGUACUCGAGUGGCGAACGGGUGAGUAACACGUGAGUGAUCUGCCCCCAACUUGGGUAUAAGCCUGGGAAACUGGGUCUAAUUCCCGAUAGGACUGCAGGGUGGUGCCUGUGGUGGAAAACGAUUUUCUAGUGGUUGGGGAUGAGCUCGCGGCCUAUCAGCUUGUUGGUGGGGUAAUGGCCUACCAAGGCGGCGACGGGUAGCCGGCCUGGGAGGGUGGACGGCCACAGUGGGACUGAGAUACGGCCCAGACUCCUACGGGAGGCAGCAGUGGGGAAUAUUGAACGAUGGGCGGAAGCCUGAUGCAGCGACGCCGCGUGGGGGAUGACGGCCUUCGGGUUGUAAACUCCUUUCGACCGAGAGGAAGCCACCUGGUUGGAAGGGUGGUGACGGUAGUGGUAGAAGAAGCACCGGCUAACUACGUG
rnacentral:rRNA from 1 species